GCCUGGGUGGCUCAGUCGGUUAAGUGUCUGACUUCAGCUCAGGUCAUGAUCUCACGAUUUGUGAGUUCAAGUCCCACAUCAGGCU
rnacentral:tRNA from 1 species